rnacentral:tRNA from 1 species
GGGGCCGUAGCCCAACGGCAGGAGGCAGCGUCUUUAGGUGGCGCGCAGUAUGGGUUCGAAUCCCAUCGGCCCCACAA